AACGAACGCUGGCGGCGCGCCUAAUACAUGCAAGUCGAGCGAGAAGGUGUAGCAAUACACUUGUAAAGCGGCGAACGGGUGAGGAAUGCAUGGGUAACCUACCCUCGAGUGGGGAAUAACUAGCCGAAAGGUUAGCUAAUACCGCAUACGUUUCCGGAACUUCGGUUUCGGAAAGAAAGCAAUACCGUGGGUAUUGCGCUCCUGGAUGGGCUCAUGUCCUAUCAGCUUGUUGGUGAGGUAACGGCUCACCAAGGCUUCGACGGGUAGCUGGUCUGAGAGGACGAUCAGCCACACUGGCACUGCGACACGGGCCAGACUCCUACGGAGGCAGCAGUAAGGAAUAUUGCGCAAUGGACGAAAGUCUGACGCAGCGACGCCGCGUGGGGGAUGAAGGUCUUCGGAUUGUAAACCCCUUUCGGAGGGAAGAUGGAGUGGGUAACCACUUGGACGGUACCUCCAGAAGCAGCCACGGCUAACUCGUGCCAGCAG
rnacentral:rRNA from 1 species